GAGGUUGUGGUUCAGCAGCACAGUGCUCGCCUAGCAAGUGAGAGGCUCUGGGUUCGAUCCUCAGCACCACA
rnacentral:tRNA from 1 species